UACUUAGGGCGCAAGCGUUGUCCGGAAUUAUUGGGCGUAAAGAGCUCGUAGGCGGCUUGUCACGUCGGAUGUGAAAGCCCGGGGCUUAACUCCGGGUCUGCAUUCGAUACGGGCUGGCUAGAGUGUGGUAGGGGAGAUCGGAAUUCCUGGUGUAGCGGUGAAAUGCGCAGAUAUCAGGAGGAACACCGGUGGCGAAGGCGGAUCUCUGGGCCAUUACUGACGCUGAGGAGCGAAAGCGUGGGGAGCGAACAGG
rnacentral:rRNA from 1 species